rnacentral:miRNA from 1 species
UUUCUGACCAUGUGACCUGGGGG